UGUCUCAAAGAUUAAGCCAUGCAUGUCUCAGUACAAGCCAAAUUAAGGUGAAACCGCGAAAGGCUCAUUAAAUCAGUUAUGGUUCCUUAGAUCGUACAAACAGUUACUUGGAUAACUGUGGUAAUUCUAGAGCUAAUACAUGCAAACAGGGCCCCGACCGGAGACGGAAGGGGUGCUUUUAUUAGAACAAGACCAAUCGGCGGUGGCGAAUCUGAAUAACUUUACGCUGAUCGCACGGUCCAGCACCGGCGACGCAUCUUUCAAAUGUCUGCCUUAUCAACUGUCGAUGGUAGGAUCUGCGCCUACCAUGGUUGUAACGGGUAACGGGGAAUCAGGGUUCGAUUCCGGAGAGGGAGCCUGAGAAACGGCUACCACAUCCAAGGAAGGCAGCAGGCGCGCAAAUUACCCACUCCCGGCACGGGGAGGUAGUGACGAAAAAUAACGAUACGGGACUCAUCCGAGGCCCCGUAAUCGGAAUGAGAACACUUUAAAUCCUUUAACGAGGACCAAUUGGAGGGCAAGUCUGGUGCCAGCAGCCGCGGUAACUCCAGCUCCAAUAGCGUA
rnacentral:rRNA from 1 species